rnacentral:rRNA from 1 species
ACUCCUACGGGAGGCAGCAGUGGGAAGUAUUGGACAAUGGGGGGAACCCUGAUCCAGCCAUGCCGCGUGUGUGAAGAAGGCCUUAUGGUUGUAAAGCACUUUAAGCGAGGAGGAGGCUACUGAGACUAAUACUCUUGGAUAGUGGACGUUACUCGCAGAAUAAGCACCGGCUAACUCUGUGCCAGCAGCCGCGGUAAUACAGAGGGUGCGAGCGUUAAUCGGAUUUACUGGGCGUAAAGCGUGCGUAGGCGGCUUUUAAGUCGGAUGUGAAAUCCCCGAGCUUAACUUGGGAAUUGCAUUCGAUACUGGGAAGCUAGAGUAUGGGAGAGGAUGGUAGAAUUCCAGGUGUAGCGGUGAAAUGCGUAGAGAUCUGGAGGAAUACCGAUGGCGAAGGCAGCCAUCUGGCCUAAUACUGACGCUGAGGUACGAAAGCAUGGGAGCAAACAGGAUUAGAUACCCCUGGUAGGAUAGCG